rnacentral:tRNA from 2 species
GCGCCUGUAGCUCAAUUGGAUAGAGCUCUCGUGUUCUAAACGAGUGGUUGUGGGUUCGAGUCCCGCCAGGCGUA